GAUGAACGCUGGCGGCGUGCCUAAUACAUGCAAGUCGAGCGAACAGACGAGGAGCUUGCUCCUCUGACGUUAGCGGCGGACGGGUGAGUAACACGUGGAUAACCUACCUAUAAGACUGGGAUAACUUCGGGAAACCGGAGCUAAUACCGGAUAAUAUAUUGAACCGCAUGGUUCAAUAGUGAAAGACGGUUUUGCUGUCACUUAUAGAUGGAUCCGCGCCGCAUUAGCUAGUUGGUAAGGUAACGGCUUACCAAGGCAACGAUGCGUAGCCGACCUGAGAGGGUGAUCGGCCACACUGGAACUGAGACACGGUCCAGACUCCUACGGGAGGCAGCAGUAGGGAAUCUUCCGCAAUGGGCGAAAGCCUGACGGAGCAACGCCGCGUGAGUGAUGAAGGUCUUCGGAUCGUAAAACUCUGUUAUUAGGGAAGAACGAAUGUGUAAGUAACUAUGCACGUCUUGACGGUACCUAAUCAGAAAGCCACGGCUAACUACGUG
rnacentral:rRNA from 1 species